AACGAACGCUGGCGGCGUGCUUAACACAUGCAAGUCGAGCGAGAAAGGGAGCUUCGGCUCCUGAGUAAAGCGGCGCACGGGUGAGUAACACGUGGGUAACCUGCCUUUCAGUGGGGGAUAACAGUUCGAAAGGGCUGCUAAUACCGCAUUCGUCCACACGGUCACAUGUCUGUGUGGAGAAAGAGGCGCAAGUCUCGCUGGAAGAUGGGCCCGCGGUCCAUUAGCUAGUUGGUGGGUAAAGGCCUACCAAGGCUUCGAUGGAUAGCUGGUCUGAGAGGAUGAUCAGCCACACUGGAACUGAGACACGGUCCAGACUCCUACGGGAGGCAGCAGUGGGGAAUAUUGCGCAAUGGGCGAAAGCCUGACGCAGCAACGCCGCGUGUGUGAUGAAGGCCU
rnacentral:rRNA from 1 species